rnacentral:rRNA from 1 species
GACGAACGCUGGCGGCGUGCUUAACACAUGCAAGUCGAACGGAAAGGCCUGCUUUCCCUUGUGGCUUGCGGGUACUCGAGUGGCGAACGGGUGAGUAACACGUGAGAGAUCUGCCCCCAACUUGGGUAUACGCCUGGGAAACUGGGUCUAAUUCUCGAUCGGCCUGCAGGGUGGCGCCUGUGGUGGAAAUAGAUUUUCUAGUGGAUGGGGAUGAGCUCGAGGCCUAUCAGCUUGUUGGUGGGGUAAUGGCCUACCACGGCGGCGACGGGUAGCCGGCGCGAGAGUGCAGACGGCCACAUUGAGACUGAGAAGCGGCCCAGACACUGACAGAAGGCAGCGGUGGGGAAGAUAGGACGAUGUGGGGAAGCCUGAAGCAGGGACGCAAGGUUGGGGAUGACGGCCUGCGGGUGGGAAACACCUUUCGGCCGCGAAAAGGCCACCUGGUUGGAAGGAUAGUGACAGUAGUGGGAGAAGAAGCACCGGCUAACUACGUG